CCCAGGGCACAAAGUUACCAUCUCAGGGUGGAAGGAAGGGAAGAAGCAGGCUGGGGGCAGGGAUGUGGGGUUUGGGGGAUAGAUUAAAGAGAAGGAAUUAUUUGUACAUACAUGGGCCCUGUCCCAUGGUCUCAUCUCAUUGCGACAAAUGAGCAUAGCCUAGGGAAGAUUUUCUAUAGAUGCUCUACAAAAAAAAAAAAAAAGUUCAAUUGAAAUAAACAGGAGGUCAAGGAAGGUUCCAAAUACUUGUCCUGACAAGGGCUGAUAAAAGUCUGAAGACAUUGUCACAAGAUGAUAUCCCAGUAGAUCUAGACCCAGAAGGUGCCUUAGAGGCCAUUUACUCCAUUCCCCUCCCAAAUUUUAUUGUGAGGAGGAGUAGAGAUAUUCAAAGGGUCUUUCGGUUCAACCCCAAGCCUCUAAGCAGAAUUCCAUGUAAACAAUCCCAGCCUAUUUUGAUGUCACAGGCUGUUCUAAAUAAAGGCACACUUCCUCUACCAUUUCCCCACCAAACAGACAUGUGAUACAAUAGAAAAAAGGAAGGAAUGGGGAUCAGGACCCCUGGCUUACUGGCAUUACUUACUUCAUAGAACUAUGGGCAAGGAGGCCUGCAAACCUUACAAUAUUAAAUGAAAAUGAGUAGUUAUUAAUUAUCAAUAAGCCCAUUUUGCCACCAUCUCCCAAAGGACUUUAGGAGGACAAGCCAGCACCGUAGGAUCAUGAGGGAUGAGAAGGAGCUGCAGACCAAAGUGGUCUUCAGAAAAGGACCAAUGAAGUCACAGGCAGCACUGAGGAAACUAGCAUUUCAUCUCUCCAGCUGGGAUGACAUCCUCUCAUCUAGUUUCUGGUUGAUAACCAAAUUGUCCCAGCUCUGAUUUCUUCGGCUAAAACCUUUUGGAGUGAAUCAGCCACAGAGCUAGGAGGGAGGUCACAGGGGCAACCUACUGCUGGCUGUACACUCUGCUCACUGGGGGGAAUGCCGGCUGAAGCAUGACCAGGAGGGUGUUGUGAAGGCUGACCCUGCUUAGCCUCUAAGUUGUUGAGACUACAAGAAGGGGAGAAUUACAGGCUUCCUGAGUCAUCGGACAUCACAUCACUCAAUAGUACAGUCUGAAGUUUCCAGCCAAUGCCGUUUAAAUUCUCGGUUACCUAACAAUCAUUUGGGAUAGGACUUCUCUUUGUAAAUUACCAAAUAAAUGAGUUUCCAUUGGGACAGCCA